CCUACGGGAGGCAGCAGUGAGGAAUAUUGGGCAAUGGGCGCGAGCCUGAACCAGCCAAGUAGCGUGAAGGAUGACUGCCCUACGGGUGGUAAACUUCUUUUAUAAAGGAAUAAAGUGAGGCACGUGUGCAUUUUCGUAUGUACUUUACGUAUAAGGAUCGGCUAAGUUCGUGCCAGCAGCCGCGGUAAUACGGAGGGUACGAGCGUUAUCCGGAUUUAGUGGGUUUAAAGGGAGCGUAGAUGGGUUUUUAAGUCCGUUGUGAAAGUUUGCGGCUCAACCGUAAAAUUGCAAUUGAUACUGGCAGUCUUGAGUACAGUUGAGGUAGGCGGAAUUCGUGGUGUAGCGGUGAAAUGCGUAGAUAUCACGAAGAACUCCGAUUGCGAAGGCAACUUACUAAACUGCCACUGACAUUGAUGCUCGAAAGUGUGGGUAUCAAACAGGAUUAGAUACCCCAGUAGUC
rnacentral:rRNA from 1 species